rnacentral:rRNA from 1 species
GAUGAACGCUGGCGGCGUGCCUAAUACAUGCAAGUAGAACGCUGAAGGAGGAGCUUGCUCUUCUGGAUGAGUUGCGAACGGGUGAGUAACGCGUAGGUAACCUGCCUUGUAGCGGGGGAUAACUAUUGGAAACGAUAGCUAAUACCGCAUGACAACAGUUAUUGCAUGAUAACUGUUUAAAAGGGGCAACUGCUCCACUACCAGAUGGACCUGCGUUGUAUUAGCUAGUUGGUGAGGUAACGGCUCACCAAGGCGACGAUACAUAGCCGACCUGAGAGGGUGAUCGGCCACACUGGGACGGAGACACGGCCCAGACUCCUACGGGAGGCAGCAGUAGGGAAUCUUCGGCAAUGGACGGAAGUCUGACCGAGCAACGCCGCGUGAGUGAAGAAGGUUGUCGGAUCGUAAAGCUCUGUUGUAAGAGAAGAACGAGGGUGAGAGUGGAAAGUUCACACUGUGACGGUAUCUGACCAGAAAGGGACGGCUAACUACGUG